UUCCAAUAACGUAUACCAAGCUUCGUAAGGUGUGAACUUCUUGCUCAAGUGAUGUAUAGCUUGCUCCUUCUUUACGUUUCAUCAUGUUAUCCUAAAACAUACUCAAAUGCAUUAUCUGACAUAGAUAAGUAUAGUAACAAUGGCCUUUCGGGUUUCGGGGGACCAAAACGGGUGGAUUGGACAAAUACUCCUUGAUUCUGUCAAAAGUGUUAGCAAUCUUCUG
rnacentral:lncRNA from 1 species